GACGAACGCUGGCGGCAUGCCUAAUACAUGCAAGUCGAGCGAACAGAUGAAGUGCUUGCACUUCUGACGUUAGCGGCGAACGGGUGAGUAACACGUAAGGAAUCUACCUAUAAGCGGGGGAUAACAUUCGGAAACGGGUGCUAAUACCGCAUAAUAUCUUCUUCCGCAUGGAAGAAGAUUGAAAGACGGCUCUGCUGUCACUUAUAGAUGACCUUGCGGUGCAUUAGUUAGUUGGUGGGGUUAUGGCCUACCAAGACGAUGAUGAAUAGCCGACCUGAGAGGGUGAUCGGCCACAUUGGGACUGAGACACGGCCCAAACUCCUACGGGAGGCAGCAGUAGGGAAUCUUCCGCAAUGGGCGAAAGCCUGACGGAGCAAUGCCGCGUGAGUGAAGAAGGCCUUCGGGUCGUAAAACUCUGUUAUAAGAGAAGAACAAAUUGUAGAGUAACUGCUACAGUCUUGACGGUAUCUUAUCAGAAAGCCACGGCUAACUACGUGCCAGCCGCCGCGGUAA
rnacentral:rRNA from 1 species